UACGGAGGGGGCUAGCGUUGUUCGGAAUUACUGGGCGUAAAGGGCGCGUAGGCGGCGCGAUAAGUUGGGCGUGAAAGGCCCGGGCUCAACCCGGGGACUGCGCUUGAUACUGUCGCGCUGUGAGUCCGGGAGAGGAUGGCGGAAUUCCCAGUGUAGAGGUGAAAUUCGUAGAUAUUGGGAAGAACACCGGUGGCGAAGGCGGCCAUCUGGACCGGCACUGACGCUGAGGCGCGGAAAGCGUGGGGAGCAAACAGGG
rnacentral:rRNA from 1 species